GUGAAUCAUCGAAUUUUUGAACGCAAAUUGCGCCUUUUUCUGAAGGCAUGUCUGUUUGAGGUCGCCAGUUAACAAAUAUUGUGCAUUUUGUGUGCACACGUUUAUGAGCUUUCCAAAAUUAUGUAUUAUUUUUUGUGGCGCAUAAUAAACAGCGCGAUGCUUUUUUUCAGUUCGGGUGUAGUAAAAUUUUUUCUUGCUUGGGUUGUGAAAAGCGUGAUCUCGCAAUGAGUGUGGCGAUUCUACUAACCCUGCUCCAACGCCACUCUUUCUCGCGAAAGAAUAUUAAUCUUCAGGGCCUCAA
rnacentral:misc_RNA from 1 species